UACGUAGGGUCCGAGCGUUGUCCGGAAUUAUUGGGCGUAAAGGGCUCGUAGGCGGUCUGUUGCGUCGGGAGUGAAAACUUACAGCUUAACUAUGAGCGUGCUUCCGAUACGGGCAGACUUGAGGUAUUCAGGGGAGAACGGAAUUCCUGGUGUAGCGGUGAAAUGCGCAGAUAUCAGGAGGAACACCGGUGGCGAAGGCGGUUCUCUGGGAAUAUCCUGACGCUGAGGAGCGAAAGUGUGGGGAGCGAACAGG
rnacentral:rRNA from 1 species